AGAGGAAAGCUGGACGGCAAGC
rnacentral:miRNA from 1 species